GUGUGCACCUAUAUGAAGUCCCAUAGAGAAAAGGGGGUGAUUUCAUAAAAUCUAGAGAGUGCACAUUUUCCUAUCAAAUGGGAACUUCAUGCUCAUAUACCAAGGGAACAUGUUGGGUCGUUGAGAUAUACUCCCCAUUGGAUAAAAUCAUUGCAGGGAAGCCUUCUUAACUUAUUGAUUUUCUAAUUGUAC